GUGUCAAAGCUCCAUCUGUGAAAACAGUAAACACACUGACUCACACUCUCUAAGUGACUGCCAUUGAUACCAGACGAGAGAGCGCUGCAGAUACACACAAAAAUAUAGCACACAGGGCUACAGUUACUGUUUGUUUUCAUCUCAUUACAGUGACAGGAGCACGGCAACCCCAGAGGGGAGGCGGAUAAUAGUCCAGUUUUAUUUUUUCUCCACUAAUGGCCCAGGUUGGCGCUCUUUAUUUCUAAAUGAUACCCGGUCUGUGUGCGUGCUUGUCAGCGCGGAUGAAGAUAUCAAGAUAUCAGAGCUGUUUGCUGCUGGAUGAUCCGCUGCAGUUUCUGUUUAUUUCAAGUGUUUGCACUGCCAGUCAUCUGGUAUUCAGAAAAAAAAAGAUUUGCUUUGUACCAGUAAAUACUCUUGUGACCGGCUGAUUAGCCAUCAGCCAUACAGCUGUGGGGGAACUAAUGAUUGGUUUGGCCGUUGCAGCAGGGGGUUCAAAUUGAUUGACGGACGUAGCUCCAGUAUACUCCUGAACACUCCUGGACAGACCAGUCUUCUGUGGCUGCAGUGCAGAGUCUGCUGACGGUGUCUCUGCUUAUCGGCGGCGUCAUGCGUGUGUAGGGUCGGACAUCCGAGGUAACCAAAAUGUUUAUGUUUAUUGUUAUCGUUCUGUUGCUUGAUUGUGGUUAAACAUUUCUUUGUUUCAUUACAGCUUUGCCUCUGUUGCCUUGUCUUUUUGCUUGUUUAUUUUGUUGUUUCUUUUAGUUUGUAGUUGUUUUGCCGUUCGAGUUUAGUUUCGUUUCUCCCCAUGUGGGUGUUUAUCUUUAGGUUGUUGUGGCUGUGUUCUCUGUCUCAGUAAUCAGGUUUCUCCCCUCCAUAGUUGCGUAGGGCCUGUGUGACCUCCAUUUCUAAUAACUGCAUUUAUAUUAACAUUACUGUGUGUUUAUCCUCAGGUUGCUGUGGCUGGUUCUCUGGCUCAGUAGUCAGGUUUCUCCCCUCCAUAGCUGUGUAGGGCCUGUGUGACUGUCAGUUUUAAUAACUGCAUUUAUAGUAACAUUAGUGUGUGUGCGGAACAUAUUUUUGUACCAGAAUAAAAAAUUGUAUUUAUAUUUUUCUAAACACGCCUCUGUAUUCAUUUGUGCACGUACCUGUGUUUAGUAGGGGAAACCCUCUGUUGAGAGGCAGGAUUGUUAACAUUCUUAGGGUGAAAGUCCCUCGGUGGUGUUGUCGGUUCCAUGUUAAAAGAAACCAGAAGACCCUCACCAGUCCUAACUUGGUUACACCCUCACUGAAUUUUGAUAGAGGAGUAGCUGAUGCUUACAAAUGCAAGGAAUUAGUAAGAAUAGUAGAUGCACAAUUGCCACAAGGGCAUCUGUAGAGGCAGGAGUCACACAAAAGCUCCAGAGUGUUUACAUAAAACUUCCUCAAUAGUUCAUGUAACAGAGCAACAUCUCUAUCCCGCUAACAGCGGCCUUUGGUCAUCACUUCGACAGAUUGUUUGUCUGACUUCAGAAUCCUCUGCUGGAAACGUCCAUCCAUCCAUUAUUUAUACACCGCUUAAUCCUCUAUAGGGUCACAGGGAGGCUGGAGUCUGUCCCAGCUGACGUGGGGCAAAGGCAGGGGACACUCUGGACAGGUUGCCAGUCUGUCGCAGGGCUACAUAUACAAACAAUCACACUCACAUCUACAGGCAAUAUAGAAUCAUCAAUUAACCUCAGGCAUAUUUUUGGACUGUAGGAGGAAGCUGGAGUACCCAGAGAAAACCCACCCAUGCACAGGGAGAACAUGCAAACUCCAUGCAGAAAGAACCCAGGAAGGUUGGGAUGUGAACGGGGGCUCUUGUAGUUGCAAGGCAAAAGUGCUAACCACCACGCCACUGUGCAGCCCCUACUGGAAACAGACAACAGCUAAUUGGCUAAUGGUUUCAGCAACUCAAAUUUAAGGCUCUUUCUAGAAAAAUAAAAUGUCCCAAUGAGCUCAAUCCAGUCUGCUCCGGAUCAGAGGACACAACCUUACAACACAGCUGCAGUAUGAACAGGAGUGAAAAGUUACUGCAGUAAGUACAAAACUGAAGUAAAUAUAAAAAUAUUAGUAUUUUACCUCAGAAGGAAAUAUGGUACUUUAUAUAGCCAAAUACAAAGCACUUAUAGUAUCUUUAUUUUGAUCAAUUACAACUAAAAAAAUACUACUUUUAGAUGUAAUUCUGCAUAAUAACUACUUUUACCUCAAGCACAUAGUAUUCCUUAUACUUCUGUACUUCUAAUUGCAGAACUUUUACUUCUAAUUGAGCGUUUCUGUAGCGCACCGCUUUAAUUGAUGUAAAUAUCUGGAAGCAAGAAUCUGCCUUCAUGACGUGAGAGCUCAGGAAGAGGUAAAUGAGCUGUGUGAACUGAUAGACUGAUACUGCAACAUCAUCUGUUUUUACAAUUUCAGUUCCAAUGCUUUUCUUCACUACUUCACUGUUUCCCUCCUGUAAUUCUUCUUCUCGUACCUCCUCCUCUGCACUCGAGAUAUUCUCUGUUUGAAGUUAAGGCCUGGUCCAGGAAGCAGAAACUGACCCACAUGUUCUCCAUCAUCAGCUAACUUCAAACAGCAGGAAGAUCACUCAGCUACGUGUACGAACAAUCCAGGGGAUGAACAGGUGUGCAGACGGCCCCAAACUUUAAUCAGUCUUCCUUUGUUGUGAAGCGCCGUGCUGUGUUGACAGAGCUGUUUGGAGUCCGACCUGCAUGAGCGCCUUACAAGUUGCCUGCCAAGUUGCCAUGGGUUAUGGAGCUCUUUGUGGCAUGAAGUCGCACCCUGUAGCUAUUACUGAUAUCAGUCACCUUGGCAGGAGAAGCUUCGCCUCGGGCUCAGUCAUUUCGUGCCAGCGAGAACUGUGUUGGGACAGUUUUGAUACGCAUGAAAACCUGUGCACACAUCUUCAAGAGACCUUAAAAUAUGCCCCGCAUUUUCCACUGUUUUGAUGCUGGAAUGAGCCGAGGAUUUAAUCUCUCUUCAGUAUGGGCUCAAAGGAGUUUUUUAAAGGGGUUAUCUCACACUCUUUCACUGCCUUUCGUUUGUUUGUUUUUGGAAGUUUGGGACUCAGGAUGAACGGAUAAUGCUCUUUUUGUUUGUCAUAAUCUGUUUUUGCAGGGUUGCCAGGCAAAUUUGUGGGCUUUUAUUUCGUGCUAUUUUUUGAACCUUGUUUGUGGUGUUACGGCACACAGUAGAAGGAUUUUUGUCAGUGAAUAACGCAGGGAAUAUGCUCAAUGCUUCAUCCUUUUGUUCCCCCUGCUAGCGGCAAAUCCAAUGAUGGCAAUGAUGAAAGAGCUUCAAAAAUCUCAACAACUUCUUGAAGACUUUGGAGAUUUGUUGACUUUUCAUCUAGUGCCACCAACAAGUCAAGCAUCCUGUGACAUACAAGGGCAAUUCAAAAAGUUCUCGGGCCUCACAUAGUCUCAUUUAACUUCAAUGUUCUUGGUACACUGAUGUUGAAGAUUUGCUAUCCCUUCACGGAAGAAGGUCAUGUUUUGAGCCUCCAGAUGUUCCUCAACUGCAUGCAUGACAUCAUCAUCACGUUGAAAAUGGCAGCCAAGUCCAGGUUCGGCUCAGGAUAAAUUAUACUAACACUGACAUUAGCAUUUACUGUAGCUUCACUUUGUCUUAGAGCACUCCGAAACUGUCUAUGACUGAAGUGAACUGUGUCUGAGUGUGACUGUCCCCCUUCCCAGCACCCCUGCAGGCGAGGAUUCACAUUAAUGCUCCAUACCACAGUACGCUGAUGUUAUCAUCCAUGAGUCACAAGUAUAAACAGUUAGAUGCACAGACAAGGAUGAGACUCUGCACGCUUUUUAAAAGGACUUUUAUCUAAUCAAUGCUAGAUGCAUUUGUCUAACCAGAUAUCUACUUAACAGUAUAAGAAACUAUAUAAUUGUGGCCAUGUUUGGAAAAAGUAGCAGACAGUUGUGUAAUCUUGAUUCCAUAUCCUCAUUUUGGUACAGCUAGUUGACACCUGAUGCCUGCUGUUCUUCCAAAUGGGCCUUGGCACAGAUUGUUAUACUGUGCUGGGGUAUAAUAAAUGAUGUUCACACUUUUUAAACGUGCUUAUAGUACCCUUAGUACUAUCUCGGAGUUGUUACCGUGGCUGUGGACUCCUUCUUUUAUGUCAUUCGGUCUUUCUUUUUGUCUUUCGGCCUUAGUUUCCACUCUGUCUACCUUUUCCCGCUCAUAAAUCCUCCCCUCCUUUGUCAGCUCUCCCCUCGCUAACAUUUUGUCACAUUGCUCUUUCCCACUCACUCCUUUUUCCCCUCACUUAUCACUGUGAACACACUCUCCCUCUACCUGUCUCCUCUAUCUGCCUCCCUUUUCCUUCUCCUGAUUUUAACAUCUUGCUGCUACAUUCAUGCUUCAGGACUCACUGAGACCAUGAUCCACUCCUUGCCUGCUCCCUUCACUGUUAUCCAUCAUCCUCUAUUGGUCUAUUCAUCACAAAGCCAGGACGCUAUUGGUUCAUUCAUCAACCAGCCAGCAGUCCCGCAGCCUCAUACAACAACCGGCACACAGGCCCAGAAAUGUAUAGGCUCAGGGUUUGGUUCCUAAUGUUGUACGGCACUUGAAACUGUGCAGCAAGUAUUCUGGAAAAUUUCCCCAAAGGAAUGAUUCCUUUGAAGCAGACUAUUACAUAGUGUUCAAUAUUUAGAGAUCAUAGCCUGAUAGAAUGUAAUUCAGACAAUGUAUAUUGUAGUUAUGAGACUUGAGACUCUGUUUUAAGUAACAGGAGUUGUGAAUGAACACACUUGUUGCUGAUUAGCUUGUCAGACCUGAAUAUGAGUCUAGCUAACACUGGGUAGUGUAAAUUUAUGUGUACUUAAGCCUUGGCUGCAAAAUAUAUUUGUGAUUGGCUGCCAAGCAUCUGUUAAGAUCAUAACAGAGAACACCUCAAAUUUAAGCUGCCAUGAAAUCCGCCUUGUGAGAUUGACUUUGUGAGCUAUAGGACUGAACAUACAAUGUGCCUGGCGUUCAGAAGUCACUGGUGGUAUAUGAUAGUAUUGCCAGAUAUUGUUGUAAAAAUUAAACAUUAUUUGUCCAUUUUCCAAGUUGUACCUCAUCUUGUGAAAAGACAUGUCUCUAUGUUUGUUUUGUGUGACAGAAGAAUACAAAUGUGUACAGAUGUUGCAUAUGAAAACAGAUCAUGGUGGAACGUAACAUUUAGUCGUUUUAGCCUUGAGUUAGGUCUGUGUGCUCAUAUUCUCGACACAGUGUGAAACAUGUUUCCAGUGGGUGCUGGCAGUUUUUGCCCAUGUCUUCAUUAUGUUUGUGAUAUUAACAGACAGGAUCUCAGGGUGCAGCUGGUUAGGAGGGUAUCUGGUUUAGGAACCUCAGAGUUGUAUCUCUGCCUUUUGCAGAUGAUGUGGUUCUGUUAGGCUCAUCGGGCCGUGACCUUCAGUGCACACUGGGGCGGUUUUGCAGCCAAGUGCGACAUGGCUGGGAGGAGAGUCAGCACCUCCAAGUCUGAGACCACGCGGUUGUCUAGAGGAAACCGAUGGAAUGCUCCCUUUGGGUUGGGGUGCUUUGCUGCCCCAAGCAAAUGAGAUGAUUUAUCUGAUUGACAACUGGUGCAGCAUCUGCAGUAAUGGAGCUAUUGUUCCCAGACCAACAUGGUGAGGAAAGAGUUGAAUUGGAAGGCACACCUCCCGAUUUACCAGCUGAUUUGUGUUCCAACUCUCAACGAUGGUAAUGAAAAUGAAUUUGCUCUGUAGAGCUGCUGGGCUCCACUUUAGAGAUAGUAAGGAGUUUGGACAUGUAGAAGGAACUUACAGUUGCUGCUCCUUUGCAUUGAAACAAGCCAGUUAAGGUGGUUCAGGCAUCUGAUGAUGAAACUUUAAGGGUGCCCUCUUUGGAGGUUUUCCCGCAUGUCCAGUAGGAAGAACACCCCUGGAUGGACCCUUUACUUGUUGGAACAGUUACAUAUGUCAUCUAGCCUGGGAUCUCCCAGGAGGAACUGGAAAAGAUUGCUGAGGAAAGGGACCUCAGGAGUGCCCUUCUUCUCCUAAAAAGUGCAGUUCAGAAUCAAUGACAUUAAAAAUGACUAAAAAUUUCAGGGUUUUUUCUUUAAUAGCGGGCUGCACGGUGGCACGGCUACGUCACAGCUAGAAGGUCCCCGGUUUGAAUCCCGGCCUGGGAUCUUUCUGGGGGUUUUCACUGGGUUCUUCAUCUUCCUCCCACAGUUAAAAAACAUGCUGAGGAUAAUUGGUGAUUCUAAAUUGUCCGUAGGUGUGAAUGUGCGUGUCCUUGUUUGUCUCUAUAUAUAGCCUGUGAUAAACUGGUGACCUGUCCUAAGUUAGCUGGGAUAGACUCCAGCUCCCCCAUGACCCUACAGAGGAUAACGUGGUGUAUAGAAGAUGGGUGGAUGGAUCUUUAAUAGCUCCUGAGAUAUUGUCAUCCAAAUAUAGCUUCAAGUUGCAAGGCAUGAAGAAAUGUGCUGACUGUAGGUCAAUAGACAUUUUUUUUUCAGUUAUGUCAAAAAGUAUUAGAUAUGAUGCUAAAAUUUCACAGAUAUAAUUUUAAUGUCUAUAAUUUGUGAUUAAAAAAAUGUUUCAAGCAAAUCAGAGAUGCUUAAACAGAAGGCCCCUGAUGAUUUGAGAAGGAAUAAACCAUGAAUUCCUCAUGGGGUUAGCUAGAAACAAGAAAGGCAAGGAACUAAAUACUGAGACACAGUGGUGCUUUGAGCUUAAUGCUAAUGUGUGCUUAAUGACAUGCCAGUGUUUUAACACUGAUCACUGAUUACAGGCAUCAUCUAUUAGACAGACUGAAACAUUUUGGUGUCAUGGUGGCAUUACAGGAAAAGUUAAAUAAUAAUCAGAAUAUUAUUACAUACAGAGUCAUUCUUGUGGCAGCUGCUGAUUAAAUGGAGACUCAUCCUGAUUAAAAACUACCUACCACCAAUACACACUAGCAAGCACACGCUCAUGAGAUGGACAGAAAGGUGGACCUCUGACUGAGGCACCUCUGCAUUCCUCUGGUUACACAUAAAUGUUUGCACAUGCUCAGACCAAAUACAAAAGCACACACUGAUGGAAGUUCAGGGCCUCUGUAAAACACACUUCUCUUCAUGCACACACCGAUACACGUCUCUACUAUUAAACAAGGUGGACAGGGCUCCUAACAACACUGCCCGGUUUCACCGUGUUCACACACACAGAGCAGAAUAUAAACUACCCACAAUAUCUCCAUGCGAUAUUAAUAACAGUGCGAACAUUUUUAUGUGUCUAUUAACGCCGCUGCUCUCAGAGGACGCAGCUGUCUCAGGCUCUGACAAAUCAGCUCAUUUGCCCGUCGCUGUCCUCGUUUCAGUCUCACCAGUUAAAUCGUCUACCCCCCCCAGAGAGCACGAAUGAAAGACGGACAGAGAAAUAUACACAAGUGUGAAUGUAUAGUUUAGGCAUCUGUCAGCAGGAAUGUGUCAUUCUGGAAAGUGGGUUUAUAUCAUCACCACCAGCUGAACAGUUCAUAACCUCCCCAUGACCUCACUGUGGUGAUUUUUACUGUUUUCCUUCAGUUUAAGCUGUUGCUUAAUGGUCCUCCCUCACGGCUGCCAAAAUUAUUUAAACCCUAGUUUAUUAAACCUUUUCACAACCAAUCUGAAAAAAUCUGUAGAUGUCAAGCUUUUUAAAAUUUGUUUUAUAUAGGAUUAUUUUUAUUCAUCGAUAGCGAAAUGUUCUGUGUUUACCAAAUGGGGCUCCAGGUGUCAACUGCAAAAAUGAAACACUAAUAUCAAAAACAUUUCAACACUUUGUGACCGUUUAGCAAUUAAAGAAGCAGCUGAACCUGAAUCACAAAAAACUAUUUUUUGCAGUGUAGAGGUAUGUACCCACACAAAUAGUUUUGGUUUUACUAGUAUGUUUUAGAAUGUCUUUAUCUGACAUUUCAGUCACGGCCUCGUUAGAAUUACAUGGAUAAUCAAUUGAACAUCAUCUGUGGUGUUGACCACGAUGAAAUAUUACACUUAACAAACCAGAAGUCAAAGUCUCAGUGUUGCCAGAUGGAGCAUUUUUCUAUCCAAUUACUCGGCUACUUUUUUUUUUUUUUGGGCAGGUGAAGAUAUUUUUGUGGCGGUUUUGUUAUUUUGGGCUUCUUUUUGAAAUAUUUGGGAAGUUUCCACUAAAUCUGCAAUGACUUAUUGCGAAUGACUGUCAGAGCAACUGAGCUAAAACUUAUUUUCAUGUCCUUUCCUGAUAUAUAGUAAUGACCCUGUCAAAGCUCUAAGACAAAAGAGCCUGCAUCUUCUCACAAAAAUUAAAAAUAACAAGAUCAUUUUAUUUUAUGAAUUUUAUAAUAAUUUAUUAUUGGGUUGGGUCGGAUUGUUCAGAACCCUGUCCACCUUGUUAUUUAUUUAUUAGCUGUGGUUUGGAGUUUGCCUUGUACCAUAUUAAACUGGGCUACUUUUAUGAGGAUGCAGGCUCUGAUUCAGUUAUGUUUUCUCAGUCUAAUCUGGAAGCACUGAUGCUUUCUCUUCUGUGAGGCUGUGCUUGUUUUGAGACUAACAAGUUGACGUUAAGAAUAUAUAAUGUUUGCCAUGUCCAGUGACUUAUUAGUCUGCCAAGGAGGCGGAGUUAUGUGAUGAUCGGCGUUGGUUUGUCUGUCUGUCUGUCUGUCUGUCUGUCUGUUAGCAAUUACUCAAAAACGGACUAAUGGAUUUGGAUGAAAUUUUCAGGGAAGGUCAGAAAUGACACAAAGACCACCUGGUUAGAUUUUAGCCGUGAUGCAGCUUAUAGUCUGGAUCCACAGAUUUGUUAAGGAUUUUCGUAUCAUUGUGAGAUAGCAGCACGGUGUCACUGUAACUAUGACAACAAGUAAACACUACAUCAGCUGCCUGCUGUCGAUCACAUGAUUGCGAUCCUACUACAAAUCCACCGCUGCGGACUUAUCGGGACUUAUCCAUCAGAAAUCAUACAACAACUGAGCAGCCUUGGCGGAGUACUGCGCUCUCUGAGUGCUUUUCUUGUUCCAUAUGUAUUGCACAAGUUACAAUUUUGACCUGAUUGGUGGUGCUGCAUGUAAACGUAAGGAACCACUAAAUGUGUUAAAAUUCAUCGUAUUUGAAACAUUAAUACAUGCACCAAUUUUCACAGCAAUCCAUCUAGUAGUUGGGAUAUUUCAGGUGGGGACAAACUUGAGUUUUCACAACAUUACAAAAUCUCCUUCAACAGCAACUUCACUUUCUAGAAACUCAGUUCUGCUUAUUUUGGAUAAUCCUCAGACCUGACUGUGAACAGUUUUCAUUGGAACUCGUUUGUUCUGAAGAAACAGUCCCUGAGAAAAUUGUUGACGCAGAACGGCAAUAAAAAUGUUAAUCAGCAGCAAUAUAUCUUUCCAGAAACUGUGUCCCCUGUUGCUUCACAUAAUCCACAGUGGGGAGGAGGCAAACAGCUCAGAGGUGACUGACUCCGUCCUGGAAAAGUAGAAGAAAAAACAAACUGCAAAGCAAAGCACAACUAGUGUAAAUGAGAAAAUGUCUGUUAUUUGAAUGAAGUGACUCUUUAAUACGUGUCUUCAGAUAAUUAAUAUUCAUCAUCGUCUUGGACAGAAUACAGAGCUUGUGUGUGCUCGCUACUUCACAAUGAAUGAAUAUGAUGGCGUGUCUGCUCCUAUAGAGCCGCCCAUAUAUCACCCUGUGACCACACAGCCUCCAGUGGUGCGACAGGGCACAGCUGAGGGUCCGGUGCCAGCGUUAACAAGGGCCUCUUCAGUGCCACGUCCUCUCCUGCAGGGCUGCACCUGUCACCAUGUCCGUGCGUGCACGUAUGUGUGCGUGGAUAGCAAUGCAACUGAAGAGACAUGUGGUGCUCAUACGCAGUCCUUCCGCCCGGCUCAUGAAUCACUCUGCCCCCACUUCUGCAAGCCACCGACUGGCCGUCCUAAGAGAGCGAGAGAGGAAGAGGAAUGGGAGGUCGGAUGAGAAGUGUAUGGGGGCUGAAAGUGAAAGUAGCAGUUCCUCCAGAACUGGUCAGAGAUUGCAGCAUCUGAGGGCCUCUUCAAAAGAAGACGUAGUUGAUGAAGGCGUUCUGGAGCAGGACCAGAAAGACCACGACCAAGCAGCCUUGAGAUCUUAGGCAGCGUCUCCCUCAGGUCCCUCUCUAUCUCCCCACACAUCCACCAACCACUGGACCACAUCUCCAAAGUUCUGCCGGGCCAGCUCAGCUUCCCCUCAGGAGAAGUGCCGCCACCUGCCAGAUGAAGGAGCCUUUUGAGAGGCAGCUGGCAUCGUGAUUGGACUGUACUUUGGUCUGUUCCAAUCCAGCUUCAGCUCCAGAGACGGCAGGCGGGACGAGUCAACGGAGGCCGGGUGGACGAAGGCAUGCAGCUGAGUACAAUCCAGAAAACAACAGAGGAGGAGUGCAGUGGCCCAGGGCCAGAACAAACAGAGUAGCAUCGUAUGUCUCUUAGAAAACAUCAUAGUAGAGCCUUUGGUAUGAAAAAACGCCAUCAUAUACAUCGUAUAUUGUACAAAUAACAAGUCAAAGGAAAGAGACAUACAUUGUAGAAUUGUAGUAAUUGUGGGCUGACUGAUUUACUGAUUAUCAGUAUUUUAUUUUUUACUGAUUUACGGUAAUAAAUACAUUUAAAAAUGGCGCUACUUUGGCUCUGAACCUUUAUCUACCUGUGGUCGCUCUGUCUUCUGGAAUGAUUUGAUUGGUUAUACGUCACGAGUAAAACUUCUUUAACUUAACAUCUGUAAACAAAACAAAAACGUAUCAACAAAGUUUUCUGUUAGAGUUUGUGUUCUUGUAAGUUUAACUCCAAGAUUUUAAAUACUUUCAUUUACUGCAAAUGAAUAUCCAAAUGAACAUACUCCAAAUGUCUCAAUAAUAAUCAUUAUCAGCCUUAAAAACCCACAAAACACCCCUUUAUACUCGACCACACUUAGUACAGUCCGGUUCCCCCUUCUAUAAAUCUGCUUGGAAUCUUCCACUUCCUGUUUGUCAAAGUGACCUUCUACCUGGACAGGUUUUGUUGGAGCACAUACAACAAACAUUUUGGGUAACUGCACUUUAAUAUGGAUGGAUGACACUGAAUUAGAGUCUGUUUUCAUGAGACUGAGUUAAGAUGUGUAGCUCUGUCUUUAAAUAGGAAAGUAUUUCUCAGAAUUCACAGAGGAAAGUCUGAAAUGUUUGCUAGGUUAGCAUCCCACAUGUUCUUUGGCUCAGCUAAAGCUAACGCUCUCCAACUUCUGGAUCUCUUGAGUUGCUUGUUGUUAAAAUAUCUUGCUAGAGGUGCUGAAGCUCAGAAAGUCUGAGAUGUUUGUUCAAAAUAAGCUCAUUUUCAAGUCUUAUCUGAACUGUCCUCUUUUGUUUGAACUUUCCCUAAACUUAGGAGUUAAUGACAGAGCAGCACAUCCAGACUCAGUCUCAUUUAUGUAGAGAUUAAACUUCAGUGUCAUUCAUUGAUGUUAAAGUGCAGUUUUUCAAAUGUUUGUUGCACAUGCUCCCGACCAAACCAGUGCAGGUGGAAGUGAUGUGAAGAGAAAGCUCCAGAGGAUGAAUAUCACACAUUUACGUUGGAAAUAAAUGUCCUUUAAUUAGACAUUAUCAUGCAAAAGUUGGAUUUCCCUUUAA